rnacentral:rRNA from 1 species
UACGUAGGGUGCGAGCGUUAAUCGGAAUUACUGGGCGUAAAGCGUGCGCAGGCGGUGAUGUAAGACAGGUGUGAAAUCCCGGGGCUCAACCUCGGAACUGCAUUUGUGACUGCAUCGCUGGAGUGCGGCAGAGGGGGAUGGAAUUCCGCGUGUAGCAGUGAAAUGCGUAGAUAUCAGGAAGAACACCCGUGGCUAAGGCGGCUCUCUAGUACGGUACUGACGCUGAGACGCGAAAGCGUGGGGAGCGAACAGG